CCGGCGACCGGCGCACGGGUGAGUAACACGUAUGGAACCUGCCCGCAGCAGGGGGAUAAGCGGAAGAAAUUCCGUCUAAUACCGCGUAACAACGUUGGGAGGCAUCUCCCGAUGUUUAAAGAUUUAUCGGCUGCGGAUGGCCAUGCGGCGCAUUAGCUAGUCGGCGGGGUAACGGCCCACCGAGGCGACGAUGCGUAGGGGUUCUGAGAGGAGGGUCCCCCACACUGGUACUGAGACACGGACCAGACUCCUACGGAAGGCAGCAG
rnacentral:rRNA from 1 species